AACUGAUACUACCUGCGGGAACCUGCGGAGGGAUCAUUAUAGAGUGGUAAACCCUCUGUAAAAGGGGGGGACCUCCUGUCCUUUGUAGGCUCUUUUUUAAAGGGCUUUUUUUAAUUUUCUGCUUCGGUGGGGUUAUCCCACCGGAACAACCUCAAAACUCUGAUCAAAAAAUCGUUCUGUCUGAGAACUUUUUAUAAUAAAAAAAAAACUUUUAACAAUGGAUCUCUAGAUCGGAAGAGC
rnacentral:misc_RNA from 1 species